GAUUAACGCUGGCGGCGUGCAUAACACAUGCAAGUCGAACGAUGAAACUUAGUAGACUUCUUCGGAAAGACACUAAGCGGCUUAGUGGCGAACGGGUGAGUAACGCGUGAGUAACCUGCCUUACACAAGGGGAUAGCCUUUGGAAACGAAGAAUAAUACCCUAUAAAACCAUAAAAGCACAUGCUAGAAUGGUCAAAGUGAUAGCGGUGUAAGAUGGACUUGCGUCUGAUUAGCUAGUUGGUGAGAUAAAAGCUCACCAAGGCAACGAUCAGUAGCCGGCUUGAGAGAGUGUACGGCCACAUUGGGACUGAGACACGGCCCAGACUCCUACGGGAGGCAGCAGGGGGGAAUUUGGCACAAUGGGGGAAACCCUGAUGCAGCGACGCCGCGUGAUUUAGAAGGCCUUCGGGUUGUAAAAAUCUUUUGUAUAGGAAGAAAAUGACAGUACUAUACGAAUAAGGUCCGGCUAAUUACGUG
rnacentral:rRNA from 1 species